rnacentral:hammerhead_ribozyme from 1 species
AUCCGGCUGACGAGUCCCAAAUAGGACGAGGAGCGCGUCCUGGAU